GUACCGCGGGUUGCACCGUUGCGGGACACGCUGAUUGUCCAUGUGACGGACUUGCCUGUGGGAGAGUG
rnacentral:snoRNA from 2 species